rnacentral:rRNA from 1 species
GAUGAACGCUGGCGGCGUGCCUAAUACAUGCAAGUCGAGCGAACGGACGAGAAGCUUGCUUCUCUGAUGUUAGCGGCGGACGGGUGAGUAACACGUGGAUAACCUACCUAUAAGACUGGGAUAACUUCGGGAAACCGGAGCUAAUACCGGAUAAUAUUUUGAACCGCAUGGUUCAAAAGUGAAAGACGGUCUUGCUGUCCCUUAUAUAUGGAUCCGCGCUGCAUUAGCUAGUUGGUAAGGUAACGGCUUACCAAGGCAACGAUGCAUAGCCGACCUGAGAGGGUGAUCGGCCACACUGGAACGGAGACACGGUCCAGACUCCUACGGGAGGCAGCAGUAGGGAAUCUGCCGCAAUGGGCGAAAGCCUGACGGAGCAACGCCGCGUGAGUGAUGAAGGUCUUCGGAUCGUAAAACUCUGUUAUUAGGGAAGAACAUAUGUGUAAGUAACUGUGCACAUCUUGACGGUACCUAAUCAGAAAGCCACGGCUAACUACGUG